rnacentral:rRNA from 1 species
UACGGGGGGGGCGAGCGUUGUUCGGAUUUACUGGGCGUAAAGGGCGCGUAGGCGGCCACCGCAAGUCGGUUGUGAAAUCUCCGGGCUUAACCCGGAAAGGUCAAUCGAUACUGCGGGGCUAGAGUGCAGAAGGGGCAACUGGAAUUCUCGGUGUAGCGGUGAAAUGCGUAGAUAUCGAGAGGAACACCUGCGGCGAAGGCGGGUUGCUGGGCUGACACUGACGCUGAAGCGCGAAAGCUAGGGGAGCGAACGGG